GUAGGGUGGCCGAGGGUUAGGCGGCGAGUUGUAGCCUCGUUUACAGGGGCAAGUCACUCACUACCAUACC
rnacentral:tRNA from 1 species